UACGUAGGGUGCAAGCGUUAAUCGGAAUUACUGGGCGUAAAGCGUGCGCAGGCGGCCAUGCAAGACAGAUGUGAAAUCCCCGGGCUCAACCUGGGAACUGCAUUUGUGACUGCAUGGCUAGAGUACGGCAGAGGGGGAUGGAAUUCCGCGUGUAGCAGUGAAAUGCGUAGAUAUGCGGAGGAACACCGAUGGCGAAGGCAAUCCCCUGGGCCUGUACUGACGCUCAUGUACGAAAGCGUGGGGAGCAAACAGG
rnacentral:rRNA from 1 species